GCCCAGCCGUAAACUUUUAUUUACUCACUGAUCGCCAGGGAACUACUAGCCAAGCUUAAAACCCAAAGGACUUGACGGUACCCCAUAUCCAUCUAGAGGAGCCUGUUCUGUAAUCGAUAAUCCACGUUUAACCUCACCAUUUUUAGUUAAUCAGCCUGUAUACCUCCGUCGUCAGCUUACCACGUGAGCGCCAAUUAGUGAGCCUAAUGUCUUUCCACCAACACGUCAGGUCAAGGUGCAGUAAAUGAAAUGGGAAGAGAUGGGCUACACUUUCUACUAUAGAAGAAACGAAAAACUACCUAUGAAAUCUAGUCGGAAGGCGGAUUUAGCAGUAAAAAGGAAUCAGCAUGUCCAUUUUAACCCGGCACUGGGGUGUGU
rnacentral:rRNA from 1 species